rnacentral:rRNA from 1 species
GACGUAGGGCGCGAGCGUUGUCCGGAUUUAUUGGGCGUAAAGCGCGCGCAGGCGGUCAAUUAAGUUGGGUGUUUAAGCCCGGGGCUCAACCCCGGUACGCAUCCAAAACUGGUUGACUUGAGUGUAGGAGAGGAAAGUGGAAUUCCACGUGUAGCGGUGAAAUGCGUAGAGAUGUGGAGGAACACCAGUGGCGAAGGCGACUUUCUGGCCUAUAACUGACGCUGAGGCGCGAAAGCGUGGGGAGCGAACAGG